GGGCGAGUGGCGGAACUGGCAUUCGCGAAGGAUUUAAAAUCCUUUGGCUCGUAAGGGCCGUGAGGGUUCAACUCCCUCCUCGCCCA
rnacentral:tRNA from 1 species